ACUCUGUCACGUGUUCUCACUCAAUGUUGUCUUAUUUCAAACAACAAACCCAAUUAGAAUUUCAAGAAACAUCAUUGCCCUUCUUCAGUCUUCCAAAGACUUCUCUUUGAGUUCUAUUCAUUUUCUCACAUGGGUGCUGCAAUUUCAGCUCUUACGGCGUGACAAAUGCGUAAUGAAAGGGGUAUCUGCAUUAUUAGAUACUUUUCUGUCAGUUGCUGGAGUUGCAAUGAUAUGCUUGACUAUCUUUGUGAAAGCUGGAGUUGCAAAACCUAUUUGCUGAUGCCAGCUGUGCGUAGGAGUUCCCUCUAAAGUUGCAGUAUCCAUAUGGUGAGAUUUUCUUGGAAAAUAACUUUAGAUUUCAAAAGAAUAUCAAAUUUAUAGUCAAUAGGAUGUAUCAUUAUUUGGGUCCACUGUUCUAUUUAAAUAAUUUUCAAAUGCAACAUUUUCCAUAGACGUACUCCAUUUGUAAAGGUAAGAGACUCUCAUUAUGAUUUAUAAGAGUUAAUAUGUCCAGAAUCUCACAAGUAACAGUUAAUAAGUCCAGAGCCUCAUUUCGAAAAA